rnacentral:lncRNA from 1 species
UGCCCUCUCUCUUAUCUUCUUCAUGCUAAAGAAUAAGGUGUUGAAAAAUCGGCUGACGCAUAGCAUAUAUUUUAAAAAAAAUUUAUGCAGCAAAAAAUCAAAUUAAACAAUUUAAUCUAUACUACAUGCUUAAGAUUUAAUCUUAAUGCCUAUCCUAGGAUCUAUAACAUGUUAUGAUGCAUGUAUAUGAUCUAAAAAACAAA